CUAGAUCCUUUGCCUUACUACCAACCCACUUAGUUUCUUGUAGGCACAUAAUAUUUAUCCGUCUCCUCACCAUAACUUCCACUACUUCCAUAGAUUUUCCCGUUAAGGUUCCUAUAUUCCACGUUCCUAAACGGAUUUUGCUCUCUUGAACUCUACCCUUUUGUCCUAGCUUCUUCACCCUCCCCCGUCUAAUAAGAUCAAAGUACUUCUUUUGUGUGUCCCGGGUAAAGUUGAUAGGAGCAUAUGCUCCCAAACA
rnacentral:lncRNA from 1 species